rnacentral:rRNA from 1 species
AUAAGACGGCGAAAGCCGUUCUAAUACCGCAUGAGACCACACUACAGGAUGGUAGAGGGGUCAAAGGAGCAAUCCGGUGAGAGAUGGGCUCGCGUCCGAUUAGGUAGUUGGUGAGGUAACGGCCCACCAAGCCAAUGAUCGGUAGCCGGCCUGAGAGGGUGAACGGCCACAUUGGAACUGAGAGACGGUCCAAACUCCUACGGGAGGCAGCAGUGGGGAAUAUUGGGCAAUGGGGGAAACCCUGACCCAGCAACGCCGCGUGAGGGAAGAAGGUUUUCGGAUUGUAAACCUCUGUUCUUGGUGAAGAGAAGAAGACGGUAGCCAAGGAGGAAGCCCCGGCUAACUACGUGCCAGCAGCCGCGGUAAUACGUAGGGGGCGAGCGUUGUCCGGAAUGAUUGGGCGUAAAGGGCGCGUAGGCGGCUGUUCAAGUCCGUAGUGGAAGUCCAUUUUUCAAGGGUGGAAGUGCUAUGGAAACUGAGCAGCUUGAGUGCAGGAGAGGUUAUCGGAAUUCCCGGUGUAGCGGUGAAAUGCGUAGAGAUCGGGUGGAACACCAGUGGCGAAGGCGGGUAACUGGACUGCAACUGACGCUGAGGCGCGAAAGUGUGGGGAGCAAACAGGAUUAGAUACCCUGGUAGUCCACACCAUAAACGAUGAAUGCUAGGUGUAGGGGGUAUCGACCCCUUCUGUGCCGGAGUAAACACAAUAAGCAUUCCGCCUGGGGAGUACGGUCGCAAGAUUAAAACUCAAAAGAAUUGACGG